UCCUUAUCGAGAGAGACUGAGGGGCUGGCCCGAUGACGUUUCAGCAACCAGCGUGUUUCAUUUGCAUGCAAAGGUGCUAAAUCCUGCAGAUUAAAUUCUGAAAGAUGAGGG
rnacentral:ncRNA from 2 species